AAUAAAUGGAAAGUCAGACAAAAAUGAGGCCAAACCUUUUAUUGUCCCACAGACGAGUAUAGAUCAAUUUCUUCUUGACCAUCUUCACCAAAAUGUAUCUCACAUUGCCCAGGUGGACGCCGAAAGCGAGAAAAUUCUCACGAAAAAAAGACAUUCUCGAAGCAAGUAUAAAACUGGCCGAAGCAUACGCAGCACUUUUUUGCGGAGGAGUUUUGGCAACUUUUAACCCAUAAUUUGCAGAAAGUAUCGUCGAUAAACUACGUCACC